GACAGAGGCCUCGAGCGUUAGGCGGAAUCACUGGGCUUAAAGCGUGUGUAGGCGGGCCCGUAAGUGUCUUGUGAAAUCCCACGGCUCAACCGUGGAACUGCUGGGCAUACUGCGGGUCUUGGGCCAACUAGGGGCAGCCGGAACAAGCGGUGGAGCGGUGAAAUGCGUAGAUAUCAGGAGGAACACCAAUGGCGAAGGCAGCUCGCUGGGACGGUACUGACACUGAGACGCGAAAGCGUGGGGAGCAAACAGG
rnacentral:rRNA from 1 species